UCUUCCUCCUCUAUCACCUGAAGAAUGUUCUUCUUUGGGACAACUUAAGUUUCUGCUUCCACUUGCUCUGGGUUAUCAACGUGGUCCAACUUUUCUCCCAAUCUUGUUCAAUUUCUGCUAACAGGAAUGAGUUCUCAGAUGUGGUGGAAGGUGCUCAAUUUAGAAGCUGCGGAUCUAGUCUCAUGGAUUGAUUUUGACAUAUUUGGUGGUGUAUGAAGGAAGUGUUUGGAUAGCUUCUUUCCACCUAUCCAACCAUCGUUGUUAUCAUAAUCCAGUCUGGUUUCAGGAUCAGUGAUAUUUCUUAGGUGAAGACGAAGAUGAUUCUCCAACAGCUUCUACUGUUCCUUUCUUAUUGUGGGAGCUGUUUCAUUACUUUAUUUAUACUCUGUAUUCUUUAGAAGCUCCUGUACCUGUUUAGACUAGUAUCCUUAGGGGUGUUAGUAUGUUUCUAGUAAUAAAUCUUAGAGUUUUAAAAUUUUCAAUUAUGGUAUCUUCCUGACUUUUUAGGUUGGUAUUUGACAAUUGUUAAACUUUCGCAUGUUAUUUCUGUAAGAUUUCUCCUAUUUAGGUGUUAGAGGAGGUGCCCGCACGGUCCGGUGUG